GUAUGUGUGUAUUUUUUGCGUGAUGCUUAUGCGUUUUUGUUUGUUCAUGCAGUCUCUCUCACGCAUGGUGUCUUAAAGAAAGCCCGCGGAAACUUAGAGGAAGUGCCUGUAAAUGGCCAAUAGGGGGUGCUGAUGGGUUCUCCUCAGACGAGCAGUGAGUGAUCCUGCUUCAUGUUCCUGUCCAGCUGUCACCUUCACCUAGGGGUAGGGGACUCCUGUUCCUCGAGAGCAAUAUCCUGCCCCUUUUAGGUGCCACCCUAAUCCUACCCACCC